rnacentral:tmRNA from 1 species
GGGGCUGACCGGUUUUGACAGUAAGUGUAAAGAUCGGGCUCGCAUGCAGGCUGGAGUAUGUACGGCCUUGAAAGAUUCAUACGAACCAUAAAUGGCGAAAAUUCUUACGCCAUGGCUGCCUAAUCUAACCUUUACGGGAUAGAAAGCUUAAAGGGUUGAGUCCGCCGUGGCGGAUUCCCCGGCCACAUCUCACCACCUGUGGUCUGAUCCGGGUGGAUCCGAGGUGUCGAUCAGGUCAGACUGCGAGCGGUGAUGCGAUUAAGCCGUUCUAAGAUCAAUCGAUAAGCUAGGUUCAGGUGUGUCAUCCAGCAUAAUCUAGUCGAAAAACCAACAGGUGACUAAGCAUGUAGACGGUACGGUGUUUCCUUAUCUGGACGCGAGUUCGAAUCUCGCCAGCUCCACGU